rnacentral:rRNA from 1 species
CUACGGGAUGCUCCAGUGGGGAAUAUUGCACAAUGGGCGCAAGCCUAAUGCAUCCAUGCCGCGUGUAUGAAGAAGGCCUUCGGGUUGUAAAGUACUUUCAGCGGGGAGGAAGGGAGUAAAGUUAAUACCUUUGCUCAUUGACGUUACCCGCAGAAGAAGCACCGGCUAACUCCGUGCCAGCAGCCGCGGUAAUACGGAGGGUGCAAGCGUUAAUCGGAAUUACUGGGCGUAAAGCGCACGCAGGCGGUUUGUUAAGUCAGAUGUGAAAUCCCCGGGCUCAACCUGGGAACUGCAUCUGAUACUGGCAAGCUUGAGUCUCGUAGAGGGGGGUAGAAUUCCAGGUGUAGCGGUGAAAUGCGUAGAGAUCUGGAGGAAUACCGGUGGCGAAGGCGGCCCCCUGGACGAAGACUGACGCUCAGGUGCGAAAGCGUGGGGAGCAAACAGGAUUAGAUACCCUAGUAGUC